CUUUCGGGGAAAUUCACAGGGAGGCAGGGAGACGGGGAGUAAAAUCCCCAAAAUCUCCCCG
rnacentral:misc_RNA from 1 species